AUUGAACGCUGGCGGCAGGCCUAACACAUGCAAGUCGAGCGGAUGAAGGGAGCUUGCUCCUGGAUUCAGCGGCGGUCGGGUGAGUAAUGCCUAGGAAUCUGCCUGGUAGUGGGGGAUAACGUCCGGAAACGGGCGCUAAUACCGCAUACGUCCUGAGGGAGAAAGUGGGGGAUCUUCGGACCUCACGCUAUCAGAUGAGCCUAGGUCGGAUUAGCUAGUUGGUGGGGUAAAGGCCUACCAAGGCGACGAUCCGUAACUGGUCUGAGAGGAUGAUCAGUCACACUGGAACUGAGACACGGUCCAGACUCCUACGGGAGGCAGCAGUGGGGAAUAUUGGACAAUGGGCGAAAGCCUGAUCCAGCCAUGCCGCGUGUGUGAAGAAGGUCUUCGGAUUGUAAAGCACUUUAAGUUGGGAGGAAGGGCAGUAAGUUAAUACCUUGCUGUUUUGGCGUUACCAACAGAAUAAGCACUGGCUAACUUCGUG
rnacentral:rRNA from 1 species